GCGGAGGAAAAGAAACUAACAAGGAUUCCCCUAGUAACUGCGAGUGAAGCGGGAAAAGCUCAAAUUUAAAAUCUGGCGGCUUUGUCGUCCGAGUUGUAAUCUGGAGAAGCGUUUUCCGUGUCGGACCGUGCACAAGUCUCUUGGAACAGAGCGUCAUAGAGGGUGAGAAUCCCGUCUUUGGCACGGACAGCCGAUACUUUGUGAUACGUUUUCAAAGAGUCGAGUUGUUUGGGAAUGCAGCUCAAAAUGGGUGGUAAAUUCCAUCUAAAGCUAAAUAUAGGCGAGAGACCGAUAGCGAACAAGUACCGUGAGGGAAAGAUGAAAAGCACUUUGGAAAGAGAGUUAAAUAGUACGUGAAAUUGUUGAAAGGGAAACGCUUGAAGUCAGUCGCGUCUGCCGGGACUCAGCCUUACUUUUGUAUGGUGUAUUUCCUGGUUUGACGGGUCAACAUCGAUUUUGACCGAUGGAUAAAGGAGAAGGGAAUGUGGCACCUUCGGGUGUGUUAUAGCCCUCUUUGUAUACAUCGGUUGGGAUCGAGGACUGCAGCACGCCCUUGUGGCCGGGGGUUCGCCCUACGUAUCGUGCUUAGGAUGUUGACAUAAUGGCUUUAAGCGACCCGUCUUGAAACA
rnacentral:rRNA from 1 species